UCCUUCAUGUACUUAUGCAAUACAAGGUUAAUAAAGUGUAGUCUUGACGAGAAGAUUCAUGGAAUAGCCAAGAAUAUGUCAUCUAAUGAUUUCAAAAAGGGGCACUCGGAAUGUUAAAGGCACAAUUGUGGAAUUUGAUACCAAACCAGACGGAUAGUAAAGGAGAUGCAAUUGCAUAUGGUUAUUCAAAUUUGGAGGGAGAGGUGAUAAGAU
rnacentral:lncRNA from 1 species